rnacentral:rRNA from 1 species
AGUGAACGCUGGCGGUAGGCCUAACACAUGCAAGUCGAACGACAGCACAGUGAGAUCUUGCUCUUACGGGUGGCGAGUGGCGGACGGGUGAGGCAUGCAUAGGAUUCCACUUUUUCGUGGGUGAUAACGUAGAGAAACUUAUGCUAAUACAGCAUACAUCGUACCGGUUGAAGCAGGAGUUCUUCACGCCUUUCGCGUUUGAUAGAGCCGAAGUCGGGCUAGCUAGUUUGCGUGGUAACGGCUUACCAAGGCGACGAUGCGUAGCCGGUCUGAGAGGAUGAUCAGCCACACUGGAACUGAGACACGGUCCAGACUCCUACGGGAGGCAGCAGUGGGGAAUCUUGCGCAAUGGGCGAAAGCCUGAUCCAGCAACACCGCGUGGGUGAUGAAGGUCUUCGGGUGGUAAAACCCUUUUGUUGGGAAAGAACAAAAGUGGUUUAAUCGAGGGCUGUUCUGACGGUACCCAAAGAAGAAGCACCGGCUAACUUCGUG